CAGUCGCCGCGGUAAUACGGAGGGUGCAAGCGUUAAUCGGAAUUACUGGGCGUAAAGCGUGCGUAGGCGGUUCGUUAAGUCUGUUGUGAAAGCCCCGGGCUCAACCUGGGAAUGGCAAUGGAUACUGGCGAGCUAGAGUGUGUCAGAGGAUGGUGGAAUUCCCGGUGUAGCGGUGAAAUGCGUAGAGAUCGGGAGGAACAUCAGUGGCGAAGGCGGCCAUCUGGGACAACACUGACGCUGGGGCACGAAAGCGUGGGGAGUAAACAGGAUUAGAUACCCGGGUAGUCCCUGUCUCUUAUAC
rnacentral:rRNA from 1 species